rnacentral:rRNA from 1 species
CUUGUUGGUGGCGCAGCUAACGCAUUAAGCAUCCCGCCUGGGGAGUACGGCCGCAAGGUUAAAACUCAAAGGAAUUGACGGGGGCCCGCAGGGAUGAGAUGG